rnacentral:tRNA from 1 species
GCCCCCGUUGUCUAAUGGUUAUGACGUCAGACUUCUACAGCUGCUUCCUGUGAUCUGGAGGUUGCGGGUUCGAAUCCCGCCGGGGGUU